AAAGAUAUCAUUGAGAUUUUUGACAUUGAUCUUAAAAUUUACUUCGAUUCUCAAAUUUUUCCCAAAGUUUUUGCCAACACAUAGACAAUUGCCAAAAUUUAUGACAUUUUCACUUUUUUUUUUGUGUUGGGUUUCACUUUAAAAUCGCAAAGUUCUUAGAAGCACUGCAAGAAGAUCCUCUCAAAAUGAUGCUCCAAAGACUGGCUCUUUAACCAACAAUUUCCAAAUUAACUGAUAACGUCAACUCAAGGAGAUGAAGCCAAGUAGAGAAAGAGAGAGAAAGAGAAAGAGAUGGAGCAACCUCAUAAAUCACUCAGCCGUUGGGCUCGGUUUCGUUAGUGCUUUCUGUGUAUUUGCCAUGCAAACUGCAAUUGGUUUUGGUGGCUAAGAAUGAACUACCUAAUCUAGACAAUGAAAGGAUCCAUGCAUGAGACGUCUCAGUCGCCAUCCAAAAGGGGAGACUUGAUUUCGCUUUGCUUUACUUGCUU